rnacentral:rRNA from 1 species
UACGUAGGGGGCAAGCGUUGUCCGGAUUUAUUGGGCGUAAAGAGCGUGUAGGCGGCCAGAUAGGUCCGUUGUGAAAACUGGAGGCUUAACCUCCAGCGGUCGAUGGAAACCAUCUGGCUAGAGUCCGGAAGAGGAGAGUGGAAUUCCUGGUGUAGCGGUGAAAUGCGCAGAUAUCAGGAAGAACACCCGUGGCGAAGGCGGCUCUCUGGGACGGUACUGACGGCUGAGACGCGAAAGCGUGGGGAGCGAACAGG